rnacentral:lncRNA from 1 species
CCGCCCCGCGGGGAGCGCCGCCCGCAGGACUACGUCCCCCACAGUGCACCGCGGCGGCACCGCCCGCGGGGAGGGGCGGUGGAGGCGGCGGGGCAGAGCGGAGAGGAGCAGAGCGGCCCUCUGCCGGGCUCGGUGCGUAUGGAAUGGAGCGAGCGCCGGGGCUGAAGUCAGCGACGGGAAACCGAGCGACAAAAACAGAAGGUCUCGGCGGCGUGCGGUACAGGAAGGCGCCCAGAGCUCAGGAGCAGCCGCGCUCAGCGGGUCUCGCAGAGCGGAGCGCUUCACGGAACCGCUGCCAGAGAGAGAACCCUGCGCGGAGCCGCCCCCGGGGCUGCAGCGCCGGCAGCGGGCGUGGGGGAGGGCAGAGCCGGGCCUGGGGCUUCGGGCACGCUUCCAUGUCUGACGCCGUUUUGUCAGACCGCCCCUCGGCGCCGUCUGCCACACGGCAGCGCGUCCGGAACGUUGGUGGGAAGAUUCAGCCUCUGCUGCAGUCCCACCAACGUCCACCUCUGAUAUCGUGGGCCAACGUCAUAGAAUAAGAGGCGUUACUUUCAGAGCAGCCCUCGCAUUUUAGACUUCUAUCAAAGAUCAGUAGUUAAUGGUUGCUUUGCAGUUGCAGCAACACUCGUGCUACAAAAGACUAAACGCAGCCAUUAGCAGCCCAGCCCACCAGCAGCAGUACCACAGAUGAAACCUAAUCACUACAAGCACAAGAGUGGCAGAAAAUUCACCACCACACGUAUGUAUGUCCCUGGUGCCUGGCUGCUCGCUUGCAAGCACUUGCGAGAUGGGUGGAGGUCAGCAGGCUUCAAAAGCAGUUGAAAACAAAAAGACAGUUCCUUCUUAAAGGAGAUCCAAUAGCAGGCAGUGCUGGGACACGAUCGCGGACACCAUGGUGUGGUUCCAGCUUGCCAGAAUGAAGGUACAGCGGGCAGCACUCAGCAUCGAAAGCAUGCAAGGGUUUCACAUCUGCAGAGCAGUUGGUCCAUCAAGGAGUUCUCUAUCCACCAACAGGAGAAAAAAGCACCAUGCUCCCCAGCAUUAGAAAGAGCUUGGCCAGUGUGGCAAGGGAAGUGAUUCCACCCCUCUGCUUUGCCCCAGUGAGGCCAUGUCUGGAGUACUGGGUCCAGUUCUGGGCUCCCCAGGCCAAGAAAGACAGGGAACUGAUGAGAGAGUCCAACGGAGGGCCACAGAGAUGAUGUGGGGCCUGGAGCAUCUCCCGUAUGAGGAAAGGCUGAGAGAGCUGGGGCAGUUCAGCCCAGAGAAGAGAAGGCUGAAGGGGGAAUCUUAUCAAUGCAUAUAAUUAUGUAGAGAGCAGGAGUGAAGUGGAUGGGGCCAGAUUCUUUUUGGUGGUGCCCAAUUCUUUGUGGUGGUGCCCAGCAACAGGAGAAGGGGCAAUGGGCACAAACACAGGAAGCUCUAUACAAACACAAGGAAGAACUUCUCUUGAAGAAUAACAGCACUGGCACAAGGCUGCCCAGAGAAGUUGUACAGUCUCCUUCUCUGAAUGUACUCAAAACCUGCCUGGAUGGUUACCUGUGCAACCUACUGUAGGGAACUGCUGGAGCGGGGGGUUGGACUCAGUGACCUCCAGAGAUCUCUUCCAACCCCUGCAAUUCUGUGAUCACUCUGAGAAGAGCACAUCUGAGGGACAAGAUGCUCAUGCAGCACAAGACUACUUGACAGAAGUAGUGGGAAGUAUUGUGUCAAGUUCAGCUGGCACAAAUAGAUGUGAGGCAGUAACACCUGGGCAACUGCUUGAAAAAGGAUUUGCCAAACUGCUAGGAAAAAGCCAUCGGCUGUUGCUGCAGGUUAUACCACUGCACAAAUGGUAGGCAAAGACAGUAGUAGAGUAAGCAGACACAGUAACUGGGAUCCUCAUUCCUCAGCCAUGGGCAGAACUAAUUUCAAAAGUGUGCUGAAGGCAGAACUGAGCCAAACACCUCUCUUAGUGGGACCACUGUACAUGGGAACAGCUCCAUCACGUCAGUGUGAAUGGGCCCCACUUUAUACCCAGGUGAGGAGCUGCCUGCUUCACCUGGCUGCCCUGCUGCUUCACCCCUUCAGCACAGUUCAGCUUCUUCCAGAGUCAAAAAUAAUUGGUAGUGAAUUGGCAAGCAAAUGCCAAACACAAUAACAACAAUUAUAUGCUUGAGCACUCCACAAGGUCUAGCACACAAAGUAUCACCUUUGUUCAUAGCCACAGGGUUUUUUCCAUGUGCUUUCAACUUCUGUCUGUGCUCAUCAUGCUCUGUCCUGGUACACGUGAGCCCUUAUCCCUUUAAUGAUCUGCUCCAUGGCUGAAUUUUGCUUCUGAGCCACAUGAAUGCCUCAUCUAUUUCUCAUCAUGGCCUUGGCAGCACCUGGAGCUCCUGGUGCCCCAUGUGCAGGGAUGUAUUUAGCCCCAGAGCACUGAUGCUACAUGCAAACGGUUUCCUGGAUCUAAGCAGCAGUUUGAUGUUCUCAGCCCAUAGCACGUGUGUGAAAUUCCUUCACUUGUUUAUCUUCAAAAUCCCUUGGGAAAGGUUUUGUUUGUUUGUUUUUAAUAGCAGCUAAGUAUCUAGUUGGCCUUCACAGCCCCAUUCUGUGUGACACUGUUGACACGCUCUCUUGUGUCAUCUCCUGUCUUCGCAGCAGCCCCCAUGGCAGCACUGUCCCCACAGUGGGCAGGCUGGUGGGCACUCCACUGCCUCCAGGGUCUGUCUCACCUCGCCCCUCUGCUUUCCAUCUUGCACAGAAACCCGAGGACCUGAGACUGCCUUCUUCUUCUUCUUUUUUUUUUUUUUUUUAAGGAAUGUGCUGUGUUGGCAAAUUCUGGUAUUACACCCCAAAGGGAUCCAUUAACAUCCAGGUAGUUACUUCAUAAUAAGCUUUGCAGAUUUGGAUGCAAAGAGGUGCCUCUGACAGGUGUCGUCAGUGGGAUAAGGUGUGUCUGAUGAUGAGAAAAAGUCAGCAGGCAGAGAGGCAGAGUGUCACUGAGGUUCUCUUCAAGUUGGUAACAUUUCCUCAGAGUUACUUUUAACUCCCCUAUCUGGGUGUCCCCAGGAGUUAAGGUUCUGUAGCCCACACACUGGGAAGCUAAAAAAAAUUGGAGAAGUAAAUUAACAAAAUCCCCUUCUUCCCGAUCAAACCAUUUUUCCCAAGUGAGAAAAAUAGAAGCAUUGUCUCUUGCAUUCUCCUGCUCCCCGUUUUUAAUUAUUAGGAUGUCUUCUCAAAUCUGUAGCAUUUUAUCAUUUUCUUUUGUCUUCCCCUAAUCGGUAGCAUUGAUAAUCUCACAUGUUCACUAAUGAUUAGUCCAUAUUUAUAAUAAACACUGAGUUUUCUUCUGCCUCAUAUGUUCUGAGCCCUCACUGUUCUCAGGCUUUACCCUGUAAAUCAGGACUCAAACAAGCCCUAGCUUUUUGUCCUCUCCAGAAGCUGAAAUUUGUUUGUAACAACUCACUCUUAGGGCAUGGGGCUUCAGUUCACAUCCUGAACACUGCUGGGCUUACAAUUAAAUGGUGAGAUCUAGCCAGUUUCUGAGAUUAAUAGAGAUAAUAGUUCAAACAACUUCACCUGGUAAUUCAUAGAAUCACAGAAUUGGUCAGGUUGGAAAAGGCCUUCAAGAUCAUCAAGUCCAACUGCAACCUAACCACACUACCCUAACAACCCUUCCCUAAACCAUGUUGCUGAGCACCACAUCCAAACGGUUUUUAAACACAUCCAGGGAUGGUGACUCAGCCACCUCCCUGGGGAGCCUAUUCCAGUGCUUAACCACCCUGUCUGUAAAGAAGUUCUUCCUAAUAUCCAACCUAAACCUCCCCUGGUGCAACUUGAGGCCAUUUCCCCUCGUCCUGUCACCUGUCACCAGUGAGAAGUAAACCCAAGAUUUGUUAGUAGGUUUCAUGCUUUGUUAUUGUUCUAAACUGCUCAAGAUGCAAAGGAAAAUGUCCGUCAGUAACUGCAAAUAUCGCUAUUUCAAAAGCAUUUCUGAACAGCCUAGGAAACAAGAGCGGCUUGUCAAAGCUGAGGCUCUCGUGAUCAUUCAAGGUAAUGAUGUAGCAUAACAAAAAUUUGAAAUGACUGAAUGAGCACAGCCCGGCCUGUGCCCAUAGCCUCCUCUGGGUGCAGCCAGAGGUCACAGCCUAUUUCAUUGUCAGUUCACUGUCUCUAAACUGCAUCUGUGCAAAGACACUGUUGAAGGAAGGCUGUGCAGGAGGCAGGGAAGAGUGGGGAUAACCUCUCAGGUUGUUUCCUGAGGUGUGUGAUGAUCACAGACUAUCACACGAGGCUGGUCACAAUUCAGCCUGCCCACGAGCUUCGUGUAUGGACAAGUAACAAAUUACCAUUGUCUCCUAUUUCUUCCCAUUUCCUAUUUAAGAAGAAAAUAAAAUGACUUUAGUGAAAAAGAAAAUAGUUCGGGACAGGAUCAAUGUUUGUGUGAGGUACAGUAAUGACCUUUCUUAACCAAAAGACAUUUCAAAAUAAGAACCUGAAAGUGACUGAAAGCUUCAGAUAUUCACUGGUAGCUGAUAAGCUGGGGAGAAGCAGGUGAGCUGCUGGCAGAAAGCUGCCAGAGGGAAUGUCUGCGUGCAAGGAACAAGCAGAGGAAUUACAGAUGCUUAUCGCAAAAUGGAAUUCUUAGGAUGUCUCAGCAUCAGGAGAAAAAAAUGUGACUUAGCUUUCAACGUUUGACAGAAUGCCUUGGCUGGGUGUGGGGAGCACAGGACACACACAGCCCGCUCCCUGACCCAAGUGCUGAGAUGCCCAUGCCUAUCAGUGCUGGCCUUCUGCCAGGAGCUGCAGAGGAGGGACGGCUAGGGGGUCCAAGUAGCAACAUGUCUGGCACACCAUCUGCCAGGUGUAGCAGGGACCAGAUGCUCAAGUUACUUCUUUAUUCUGCCAUGAUGGAACAAGCCAGGGAGGAAGGGAGAUUUUUUCCCAAAACGUUUUCCUUUUUCCUCCUUUACUGCAAGCCCGAACCACCCCUCACAACCACCUACAGCUUCUUAUGACCAUGAGGUGCACCUGUUACUUUUCAGCAUUUUUCUUCUUUGCUCUCAUUCAAUGAGAAAGCCUCUUCCAAUGCACAAAGAAGUGCUUAGGUAAACCGGAGCCAAAGACACUCCAUGACCACAGAUUUUGUCUUUUGGUCCACAUGGAGGUGCUGGGAAGCAGUGUGCCUCCAGGGCUGGCUGGGGGCUCAUGGCCUGGCAGCUGUACAGGGUGUGUGGAGCUGUUGUUAGGCCAGAACUGCAGGCCUGCCUGCCAAGGCAGCAGUCUGACAUGGCUUUCCCAGGCCUGUAGGUCUGUGCAAAGGGCCAUGUCAGCCCAAACAACCACGCUCUCUCUUCCCAGCUCACCUGUGGGAAAGGACCAUGUUUGUGCUUCACCCCAGUGCCUGUUUGGAGGAAAACAUUCCCUUUUAAACCAUGUCCGUAUGCCUGAUUGACAAGCAGUAAAUGAGCUGCCACUGCUCCAUCUCUUUUGACGAGGUAAACACACCUGCGUUUGGAUUUAAGCCAAACCCAUUUCAUUUUUGAUAAAUCAUCCAGGCACAUGUUUAAACUGAAGCAAAACAAGAAUCCACACAGCAGUGUACCAGUAUAACUACAUCAGCAACAAAGAAAAAAACACUGCAGUGUUAUUUCUCUUUUCCCCUCCAUCUUCAUGUUGUAACUUGAAAGGGUCUCAAGUUCUGGAGGCCACUCACAAAGGAGUAAUACUGUAUGCAGUAUGGACUUGGCUGGUACAGAUUUGAUUUUCUCUGCAUAAGAAAUAUUUCUACUUCUAUCAGUGUGAGAAGAGACAUUCACUUAUUUCUCAUAAGCUCUGGAAGGAGACAAGCACAGCCAGAGCUUGCUUUUGGUUGCAGUCAGAAGCAGCAGGAACUUCAUUGCAGUUAGUUGAAUUACACCAAAUUUAUGUGCCAUGGGUAAAAUCAGUGUGUUGGCUCCAGAGCAGGCACAGUGAUAACACCAAUGGGUCACAGCAGAUUUGGUGCUGCUGAAGAGCACCUAAGCCACCCCAGCCUUGCGCUAGAGCCCUAGCUCUGGUAUAGGCACCUCCUGCUCCAUCAGGAAAAAUUUUCCUGAAGAGCUUAUCUAGAAAAAAGAGCUAUAGGAAGCAUUUUUGCCAUCAAGUGAUUUCUUCACUGCUAGAAUAUCUUCCUGGCAAUGCCAGUUUUCUAACACAGAGCAAGUCGCAGAUUACUGCGCCAGAGCCUAAGGAUUGCAUCAGAUCUGCUUUCAAUUCAAGACAAGGCUCACGUGAAAGUCACUUUCAACUGUUUCUCUCUACUAAGGGAGAACACUUCUGUGCACCUCGGGCCUCAGCCAGAACUUGAUCCACUGUGAAUGACUUCGUGUCAUUCAGUAAGUGACACACACACUUUAAAGCAGAGCACUUUCCCCCUUUUAUCAAAGCUAUACUGUAAGUUACAUCUCCUGCUGAGACAUGUGCCCACUGCACUGCUAGGUAGAUAAGCAAGGUGCAAAAUGACUGCAGUUCCUUCUCUACUCAUUUUGCUUUUUUUCUAAGCACAGCAUUCCUCGAUACCAAAUCUCUAGUUUAGAUAAAGGAAAAAGUCUGUGGAGUUAAUUGCAUUAAUUAAAAACCUCAUCGACUAAAUGGUUCACAGAAAGUCUGAGCUCAUUGCCGUUUUCUUCUAAGUAUGUUAUAUAAGCAUCAAUUACAAGAACAUCAAGUUUAAAUAAAAAUCAGAAGCAAAGUUAUUUCAUUUUGGACAGAGGAAACAGCUUCUUGGUAGAGGCAGGCAGAGAUCACAGCAUGCAUGGAAAUAGCUGUGGCACAGGCAGCUCACUGCCAGCAUCACAAAGGAGGCAGGGUGUGAUCCAGCACUAAAUUAAUCAGUGCUUCCAGCACAGAGCUAAGAGUUAUGGAACAGGCAGGUAGGUGUUUCGGUUACUUUUUUAAUGUUGCUUCCACUUAUGUAUUUUAGGAAUUCACUGACAUCUGCUAUAUAUAUUUUUUCCAUCAAUUUCUAAUAGCUGGAAUUCCACUAGAGCUGUUUUAAAUAUAACUAACAUGUUUUAUCCAAGCAAUAUUUAUUAUUAUGGACAAUUUCUGCACCUGCUAAUUGAGGCAGGGUUCAAGUUUUUGGAAAUAUUAUUAUGUGGAUUGAAUAUUGUAAUAAUAGGCAGCUAUUUGAUACAUAUGGUUAGAAAUAAAUAGAUUUGUACCUUAGUUUUUGUGGGGUUUUUUAUGUCUAUAUUGCUGUGCUCCAGCCUUCAGAUAAUGCUGCCUUUCUGGAACUG